rnacentral:misc_RNA from 1 species
UUUCCGUAGGUGAACCUGCGGAAGGAUCAUUAUCGAAUAACCGACUCUUGAGGGCUGCCGCUGACCCGAUUGGCUGCGCACGCCCGAUUGCUCCCACACACACCCAUUCCCCCCCUACCUGCACCACCGCUACGGUCCCCCUUUGCCUCGCUCGGCGGGGGGCUUACCUUUUCACACAAACCUUGUAUUCCGUGUAGAUUGUAUUUUUUGUUUUUUCAAACCCCAACUUUAAACAACUUUCAACAUCGGAUCUCUUUGCUUUCGCAUCGCAGAAGAACG